GGCCGCUCCAGGCCCCGCCCUCGACUCCUCCGUCGCUGCGUCUCCUCCUCCCUCCGGCCGUGGGCGCCUCCGUGCUCCGUCCACGGAAGGACAGGCCCCGCCCCGACUCCCUCGGCGAAGAAGCCCCCGCGGCCGGCCGAUCUCCGUGGACUCCGCAGGAGCGGCCCCGCCCCUCACACUAUGCCGGGCGGUUCCCUCUGAGCCCCGCCGGGACAGCGUCUACGCUGCACACACCACAGAGAAGCCAGAGAACGGUGCCUGCACCGGACACAGCACAACACCAGCACAGGACAGCGUCCACACCACACACACCACAAGUGAGCCUAGGGAGCUGUGUCUACACUGCAGACGUCGGCCUGAGCACACACGUCUUCGUGCAGGCCCAGCAGAGGGGGAAAAACACCUCCCCGAGGGUGGAAGAGUUGUGGCCAGCAGACAGAUGGACGGACAGACGGACACAGGCGAACAGGCAGCCCAGGGGUGAGCUGAGCCGGUCAAAUGGGCCAGGACCCGGCUCCGUGUGUCCUUCACAGUCAGGAUGACAGAACCCCAUGGAAUAUGAAAAAUGCCGGGAGACAGACCCCGGAGGCACAGCCCCUCACCGGGCAGGGAGGCCGCCAGAGGGAAGCGCAGCUCCAGAUCACCAGAGCCCCAUCUGAUUAAGGCAUCGAGAUCAAAGCUCAGCAGAGGGCGGCUCAUGAUGGGCAGCUCAAAAAAAUAAACCCACCAAUCAGAGUCCGUGUUCCUGUGACCGGUGGCGGGUUCGGAUGCAGAGGAGGCUUCUCAGUGCCGUUCCUCAUCUCGGAACCUGCCACCCCACUCAAGCCCGACAUAGGCCGGGACAGCCGGGACGGCCGCAGCGAGGGCAACACGAGGCACAUCGACAUCCUGAGGCCCCCGGGCCUGUCGCCGAGUCCCGGCUUGGGGAGUGUCCCCGGGCCACACUGGUCCUGCUUCCAGCUGUGUGGUCUCCCAGGCGCGUGGCUCCUCCCUCCGGGGCCCAGGCUCUGGUGUGAGCCACUUUUUCCGUAGGAGACGCCCGUGCUUGCAGCUCACGCCUUUGUCUGGUGCCCUGGCCUCACACCUAUAGGAAUUGGGUACCUGGGGGCCUCUUCAUCUUUACUUGUCUCAGCUUAGAGAAGCCCAGCUACACUUCCUCCAUGCCUGGAUUCAUGCACGGCCCCACAGGGUGAGGCCUGGACACCCUCACGGGCACUGGGGCUCCACGGAUGCAGAAGGCAGCCUGGCCCGGUAGCUCGGGGGUCUGAGAUGGAGGUGGAGUAAGACAGAGCGACAAAGGCUGCGUCCUGGAGGCAGGCUCGGAGCCUCCCUGAGGUCACAGAGCCCGCGUGCGCCAGGAAGCCACACCUGCAGGACCCAAGUCAGAACUCAGAGGCUGGUACAGCCGCGGCGCUCGUCGUGUAGAUAAGACUGGCCUCCUCUGGCGGCCAAAGUUAAUUCAACUGACAAUCUUGAUAAGUUGCACAGUUACCUGCUCGGGGACAAAGAAGAUGGGAGCCUUGUUUGUGGUUUCUUCGGGUUCUUUCCUGUGCCCCACAGUCAUUUUAAAAUUAAAUUAAAUGGCUUAUCU
rnacentral:lncRNA from 1 species